UGCACUAGUUAGAUUAGGUACUUAUGUAACAGUGUGGUACUGUUAUACUGAGAGCGCACCAGAUUUCAUAUCUGUGGACCCGCACUAUCUUGAUAUAGAAUUGAUUAUUGAUUUAUUCAAAGUUCGUAAAUUAUUCGUAUGGAUUCCAUACGAGGAAGUGAUUAGUACAUCAAUCUUAGAAGCUUAUGAUGCGGUUGUGGAAAGGACGGCUUUAACGGAUUGCUUGGAUAGAAAGUUGAGAGAAGAGGAAUUGUCGGAUAAAUUCGAAUUCUGGGGGAAAUGCUCUGAUGGUGAUCAUACCAUAGAUUCUGUAGAGGAGAAUGCCACUAUAGAAUAUGCUAGCAGUAAAGAAGGUAGUGCCUGUAAAGAGGGGGUGGAUAGUAGCUGUAAAGAAGAAGGUGGUGGCUGUGAAGAAGAAGGUAGUGGGAGUGAAGAAGAUAGUGACGAUAGUGACAAUCCUAGAUACCUGGCAUUCGGUGUGGUUGUCCUUGUAGGUGUGUUAUUAU
rnacentral:misc_RNA from 1 species